UGCAUUUACACAACUGAACUGAUAUAAAGAAGUCAAAACAUUGAAAGAACUUCAGGCACUCAGGGACUUCAUAGCACAUCAUAAGAUAUCAACAUCAACUGAAUUUAUUAUCUUACUCUGAGUCCAAACAAUACCUGACCGGAAAGACACGACAGAAGUCCAAAUUUGCCAAAAUUAAAUAUGAAGGUUGAAGCAAUUCAGUUAAACUUCUGACUCUUCUUUUUCCUUUUCCUUCAAAAUGCUGGAGACUUUGCAUUUUCUGGCAAAAAGUCGCCUAGUGACACAGAAUUCCCUUCACAGGUGUACUUUAGGCAAAUGGAAUCAUACAGGUUUUCAGCCAGGAGCCGAAAUCAUUUAGAUGACAUUCCUUCUCCUCCAUUAAAGCAAAUUAAUGAAAGGAGGACAGGUGGACCGACUCCAAGAUUCUGAAUGAAGAAGACAAAUAAUAAAUUUAUAAGGCUGUCCUUUCUGACUGAAUUA
rnacentral:lncRNA from 1 species